rnacentral:rRNA from 1 species
GGGAACCGUUAARGGCCUCCGCGAGAAGUGNCCGAUGUCGGAUUAGCUAGUUGUGAGUAAAGCUCACCARGCGACGAUCCGUAGCUGGUCUGAGGGGAUGAUCAGCCACACUGGGACUGAGACACGGCCCAGACUCUACGGGAGGCAGCAGUGGGAAUUUGGACAAUGGGGCAACCCUGAUCCAGCCAUGCCGCGUGAGUGAAGAAGGCUUCGGGUUGUAAAGCUCUUUCGGACGGGACGAAAUGGUUAGCGUGAAUAACGCUGACUGAUGACGGUACCGUAAUAAGAAGCACCGGCUAACUACGUGCCAGCAGCCGCGGUAAUACGUAGGGUGCGAGCGUUAAUCGGAAUUACUGGGCGUAAAGCGUGCGCAGGCGGUUCGCCAAGUCAGGUGUGAAAUCCCCGGGCUUAACCUGGGAAUUGCGCUUGAAACUAGCGGGCUUGAGUGUGGCAGAGGGGGGUGGAAUUCCACGUGUAGCAGUGAAAUGCGUAGAGAUGUGGAGGAACACCGAUGGCGAAGGCAGCCCCCUGGGUCAACACUGACGCUCAUGCACGAAAGCGUGGGGAGCAAACAGGAUUAGAUACCCUGGUAGUCCACGCCCUAAACGAUGUCGACUAGGUGUUGCGGU